AGGGAUUGCCCUAGUAACGGCGAGUGAAGCGGCAACAGCUCAAAUUUGAAACCUGGCGCAAGCCCGGAUUGUAAUUUGUAGAGGAUGCUUCUGGGCAGCGGCCGUUCUAAGUUCCUUGGAACAGGACGUCAUAGAGGGUGAGAAUCCCGUAUGUGACCGGCGCGCACCCUCCACGUAGCUCCUUCGACGAGUCGAGUUGUUUGGGAAUGCAGCUCUAAAUGGGUGGUAAAUUCCAUCUAAAGCUAAAUAUUGGCCAGAGACCGAUAGCGCACAAGUAGAGUGAUCGAAAGAUGAAAAGCACUUUGGAAAGAGAGUUAAAAAGCACGUGAAAUUGUUGAAAGGGAAGCGCUUACAACCAGACUCCGCGGCGGUGUUCCGCCGGUCUUCUGACCGGUCUACUCGCCGCCGUGGGGCCAACAUCGUCUGGGGCCGCCGGAUAAGACCGUAGGAAUGUAGCUCAUUGAGUGUUAUAGCCUGCGGUGAUGCGGCGCGCCCCGGGCGAGGUCCGCGCUUCGGCAAGGAUGUGG
rnacentral:rRNA from 1 species